GGCCUUUGCAUUCCCAGGGACUAAAAACAAAACAAAGUCCGGGCAAAUCUGCAGCAGAAGCACCUCAAACCAGGGGCUGGGCCAGGCCUGGGUUCAGAGCCGGGGCUAUGUUCCCGCCUGGGGUUAUCGCAGCCUAGCUGCUUGCUGCCGGUUCCCGAUGUUUUGCUGGUCUUGGAGCGGACGCGAAAGCAAGGAUCUGAGCCCUCCUCCUCCGCCAGGACCCUCGGAGCAGCCCGGGUCUGACCCAAGACGCGGCUCUUUUCUGCUGUGCACGUUGCGACACUUUGCACAUCUGCCUGCCCCGUUUGGGAAGCCGCGUGCUGUCACUUAGAUUGACCGGCUCUUUCGGGAUGACCGGCUCGAUUUCCCUGCAAGGGGAAGGACCAGCCGGCGCCCGCGCGCCGCUCUCGGAGGAUCCGGCUUUGCCGGGAGCCCGGACGAGGCUGCCGAGCCAGCUGUGUUGCCCAGAGGUUUGCGCGCACCCGGGCGCAGACCAGCUGCUCGGAGCUGCUGUAUCGCUUCAGCAGAGCCGAGACGAGAAGCAGGUGGGAACCCAGCUUCGAUUCUUUGCGUGCAAAUGGCCUCCCCACUCCAGAUACUGAUGAGUUUAUUAAGGGAUUAAAAGUUAGCUCUCCCUGCUUAUUGAAUCCUAUGAUUUAUGCAUGCAUUUAAAUCAAUCCUAUUUCCUGCAUUUUAUCCCUUCUCCCUGAGGCUUUCAGGCUUUGCUCUAAUCACGUUGUUUUGAGGCAAGCUAGACACCGUAGGUGGUUUAAGAGAUUUGAAUAAACGAGCUGCAUUAUUUCAGCAGUUCUCCCAGGUGCUAAUUGCCCCUCCUGCGCUGGAGGUGCCCAUACUUGGCAAGUUUGUGCUGCCUCGCGGUGAAAUAUUAAUGAGUGUGCUCACUAAUGAAGCUGUUGUGUGCAGCUUAGGUCCUAGCCCCUGCCGAAGCUGUGCACUCGAGUCGGCUUCAGGCCGGGGAGCUGAGCGCUGCUCAGAGCAUCUUCACCCCGCACGCAGCUCAGAGCUCGGCUGAGGGAGAUGCUGCCCUUGAUUUACUCCUAGGCCUUUCAGUGGCUGGAGGGGACAUCCAACGCGUGCCUGAACAGGGUUUAUCUCCAUGGAGGCGGUGACAGAAGCCGCCGACCCACCAGGCGAGCGACGAUGCGCACAAUAUGUCACACCGAGCCGCUGGCUCCCUUCGUGGAGAUGAAGCAGCUCAGAGAGGAAGAAGGAGGAGGAAAAAAAAAAAAAAAGUAAAAA